rnacentral:rRNA from 1 species
UACAGAGGGUGCAAGCGUUAAGCGGAAUUACUGGGCGUAAAGCGCACGUAGGCGGUUUUUUAAGUCAGAUGUGAAAGCCCCGGGCUCAACCUGGGAAUUGCAUUUGAAACUGGGAAACUAGAGUGUGUGAGAGGGGGGUAGAAUUCCAAGUGUAGCGGUGAAAUGCGUAGAGAUUUGGAGGAAUACCAGUGGCGAAGGCGGCCCCCUGGCACAACACUGACGCUCAGGUGCGAAAGCGUGGGGAGCAAACAGG